rnacentral:rRNA from 1 species
UACAUGGGGUGCAAACGUUGCUCGGAAUUAUUGGGCGUAAAGCGCGCGUAGGCGGUUACUCAAGUCGGAUGUGAAAGCCCUCGGCUUAACUGAGGAAGUGCACCCGAAACUGAGUAGCUAGAGUACUAAAGAGGGUCGCGGAAUUCCCGGUGUAGAGGUGAAAUUCGUAGAUAUCGGGAGGACCCCCGGUGGCGACGGCGGCGACCUGGGUAGAUACUGACGCUGAGGCGCGAAAGCGUGGGGAGCAAACAGG